rnacentral:lncRNA from 1 species
CAACCCUUGCUUGACUGAUAUGUUUGGUUUAGAGGUAUGCGAGAAUAACGCUGGGAAUGUACUCCUGAUCUGCCCUGGUAGGAAAUAUUCUAGGCGAUAAAUGUGUAUUGAACAGUGUUAACCUGGUAUGCAAAUAGGAGUUCAACAUGGUGUUGCAGCAUUACCCAGGAAAUCCAGAUCAAUUGAUGUGUAAUCAAUCUUUUUAGCUGAGACUUGCAUGUAUAUGCUUUAAUCAAGAUCGAAUUUUAUCUGGAUUUUGAAUGUUUCACCCUGUUGGCUUUUGUGUCCAGAUUUCCGUGCAACUUGUCUUUUCUUUUAAUGCUAUUUAUCUUGUGAGCAGACAGUUAUUGCAUGAAAAUUCGUCAAACAAGACAAAGGUUUUAGCUAGUUUCCACAUUCUCCACUUGAUCAAGAGUUUAAGAUACUGAAAACUUGAUCAUGAUCAUCUACUGACAAAGAGUUUAAGAUUAACGUAUCCCAGUCAACUACUGCUCGCCGGUAAUAACGAGAAGCUCCCAUUUUCAGAUACCUCUGCGUGUGGAAAAAGAAGAGGAAGUAUCAACCAUUCAUGUUUACUAGUACCACGAAAGAUAUGUCAAGCGUCAAGUCUAGUGGCCAGAACUGAUUGCAGCAACCACAAGUUAUUUAGGAAAAGGAUUGCAGUGACGAGGAUAAUUUGUCUUUCAUUAGCUAGCAUUUCUGCAAGAUUGGAACAGUCAACGAUGGCAGACUGAAGUUUUUUUUAGUGUGAUAAAUCAACUGGAGACUGGACCUGCCAAAAUGAGGUCUUAGAGUAUCUAUCAAGGUAACGAGGGGGAAAUAAAAGGAAUUGUUGGAAAUUUCUAGGUGACAAAUGACUCUUUGUACGGUGCUACCUUGUAAUUUCUAAGCCACGAUAACUUUGUAACUUCCACGCGCAAGUUUCACAAAUUAUUAACGAUGUAUUUUUUACGAAAAUUUAUAUAAGAAAGUUGUUUUAAAAAUUAUAUCAAUCUGCUUUUAAUUUUUUUUAUAACUAAAAUUAAUUAAUAAUAUAUUAAUUUAUGAUGCGUUUUUCUUGUUGGUUACUAUGGAGUGCCUAUAGGCUAUAGCUCUCAUCGUUUCGUAGCUGCAAGUGCUUAUAAGCCAAAAUUCAAAUUUUUGAAGUUGAUUUUGUGAUUUUUUCAUCAUGGUUUGUUUUACACAUUUCACUUUUAAGUGUCUAUGAUUAUGUGUAUAAUUUUAUUCUAUAAAUUAUUUUUAUUUGAAAAACGUAUUUUUAUUUUAUUUUUUUCUAAAAGAGCGAAACGAUGGGGCCUAUGUCUCUCCCCUGCCAAAUCGCUGAACUGCAACUUAGCUAUCAGCUCGCCUCGUGAGUAAGGAGAAUUUAGAGAAAUUACCAUCAAAUUCGCGUGCUCGACUUUUUUACCAUCUAAUCCGCAUGUCUUCUAUAUCAUUAGGAUUACUAAUUAGUUUAUUUGGUAUCACUUUUUCGGUUUUUCAUGUAUUUCUUAUUUCUUAUUUUCAUUUAUACCCUUUUUUUUCCAGACAUAUGAACAAUUUUGCCCUCGGCCGCCUUGCCAGAACCAAACAAACAUUGAUAGGGACGUAUCUCGUGGUCGUGUACCCUGCCGCCGCCGAGAGAAGAUCGAGCUCGUCCCGCAGCCGCCGGUCGUCGUCCCACCACCGAGUGCCGUCCCUCUGUUGACCACCGUGACGCCGCCCAGCACUGCGAGGACCCCGUCGGACGGACCGUCGUCCCGCCGCUCGAGGCCCAUCCCAGCGGGCACGGAGCGGCCGGACGAGAUGGAUGGGCCUAUGGAUCUCCACUACUAGCUCCCGUCAAUGGCUGAGGUGAUGCUGUUUAAUUAGCCCUCUUUUUAAGCACUCUGAACUGCUCCACUAAUCAUAUCAGAAUCCCGGUCUUUUGGCUAAUACUUCAAACAACAUAUCACUCUGAAAAUGAUCAUGUUUAGCUAGGUCCAACACUUAAUUGCAAGUUUAGCUAUAUCUAAUUAUUGGAAAUAAAAUGUUGCAUCAGCAGUGACACUGUCAUCAUGCUAAUGACAUUGUAAGGCACGGAUGACGCUCCCGUCGACUGCUGCAGCACGACGCUCGACGGCGGCACGGCGGACGACGGAGGGACGGCACUCGGCGGCGGGAGAACGCUCUUCUCUCAACGAUGACAGGGUACGCGACUACAGAGAAUACGAGAUGCGUUCGUAUCCAUGUUUGUUUAGUUUAGCAAGGCAGGCCAAAGAGCAAAAUUAUCCACAUUUCUGAGAAAAAAAAGGUAUAAACAAAAAUAAGAAAUAAAAAAUACAUGAAAAACUGAAAAAAUGUAUCACUAAUUAGCAAUCCUAAUGAUAUAUUAUAGAAGACAUGCAGGUUAGGUGGUAAAAAAGUCGAGGCACGUGAGUUUGGGUUGCGUGGAACUUUAUUUGGGCCGAAGUGGGCUUGGGCCGCACACCCCUUCGUCUCCACUCAACUCUCCACGCCGACAGCCACCGCCGCCAGCCGCGUCGUGGAACGGCGGCGCAAGGUGGUCCGUGGUCCUUUACAUGGCGGUUGCCUUCCUGGAUCCGCUGCUGCUGCUGCCACUACUGUGGGGGGCGCGCCAUCUAUGCGUGCUCGUGCGGCAAGAGCCAGCGAUGCGGAGAGGGAGGAGGCCGCUGCCUGCUUCGUCGCGGCGACCGCCGGUGAACUCGGUCGAGGUAAGGCUCUGUGUCCUCGCAUUCGACAAUCUGCUUGGCUGCAAAAGCAGUGUGUCUCACCCAACUCGUAGUCGCCGAUAAUAUUUUCUAGACCUAAAAACAGUUUCGAGUCUCCGAUAUUGUAGUCCUCGGAUUACCUAGCGUUUGAAAAAGAAUAUGGAAAGAUCAAUUUUACUACGAAUGAUUUGUUGUUAAUUUCCUAUGCAGAGUUGCAGACCGCAAUUGUAUAGUGGAGUCAGUCCCAGAUCCCAUCAUCCCAGCCGGUCAAGAGUCAAGAUAAGCAGCCGGAACUUAUGAUUGUUGCAACGAGGAAUUCUUUUAGAAAAGGUCAAUUGUCUUCAGUAGUAAUCCUUUCUGCAAGAUUGGGAGAGUCGAUCCUGUUUAGUUUGCAAAAUGAAAAUUUUUGGAUAUCAUGUCGGACGUUUGACCGGAAGUCGGAAGGGUUUUGAAACACGAAUAAAAGAACUAAUUUUAUAGCUCGCCCGGAAACCGCGAGACGAAUCUUUUGAGCCUAAUUAAUCCAUCAUUAGCACAUGUGGUUUAUUGUAGCACUUAUGACUAAUCGUGGACUAAUUACACUCAAAAGAUUCGUUUUACAAUUUUCCCUCUAACUGUGCAAUUAGUUUUUUUCCAUCUAUGUUUAAUGCUUUAUUUAGAUGUCCAAAGAUUUGAUGUGAUGUUUUUAGAAAAAAAAAUUAGAAACUAAAAUGCGAUCAGUUUUUUUUAAAAAAAGUUGUUUAAGUGUGACAAAUCAACUGAAAACAUGAUUAGAGUAAAUGUGGUCUUAACAGGUGUCAUAUUGGACCACACAUUCAACAAGGACAGCCUAACUUGUAAGAGAACCCAAACUUUGAUUUGCUCACCUUUUCUCCCCAUAGUCAUGGGCUUUCGCGCUCACCAUUCAUUCAACACAGUUAUCGUCUCCUAGGUACUCCCAGGUGCACCCGCGUGGCUCCAAUUUACUUCCUACUAAUUCAACUCAGAAGGUUUGGUUUUACGUUCUUCGACAGUGGGCUCUGUUAGUACUUAUCCGAAAUUCACUGAUCUGUCUUUGAUUUUUGUCAGUCGUACUGAUCAAUGUAUCGAUAUAUCUUUCUCUGUGAUGAUCAGGGAGGGAAUCUCGCAGAUUGCUCAAGAUGGGAGAGAUAAUUAGUUCUGCAGUUGUUCAUGAGACAGUGAACAAAAUCAUAUCAGGCAUGAUUGAGAAGUAUGAGCGAAAAUCAAGCGCAGAGGAACAGAUGGAGAGGCUGGAGAUGGCGCAAAUCAAGUUGGAGAUUGCACUUGAGACGUCCAGUAAGUGGCAGAUCACUAGUCGGCCAUUGCAACGUUGGCAGAAGAAGCUAAAGCGUGCUGCUGAAGAGUGUGACGACACGCUACGCAAGUGCAGGCAGCGUGUCCAGGAAGAAGAGGAGGAACAGCAAGUAAGAACUUCCUCCUUUCCUAGGCGAAUUGCCGAUGCCACCAAAUCGCUGAUAUCAUCCAUCUUUCCUGGCAAUUUCGAUGAGCAAACUAAAUCUGCUGUUCGAAGAUUCGAGUGGUUUGCAGAUGGAGCUAGUGACUUUCUGAGAUCUGUGGAGUUUGGAGGGACACCACGUCGUUACUUGUUCUUCGAUCCUCUUAUUGGGCACCUUCUUGCAGGUGAAACACUAGAGUACAAAUUGGUGCAGGGAAACAAGAAGCAUUUCUUUUGGAUACGGCCCAAUAACAUUGCGGAGCGAAGAGUAGAAGCUAAGUUAAUCUUUAUUUGCAAUGAUGGCAGUGCACCCGAGAAUAACUUUUUUCUUGGUAUGAUGCUACAACUUUCAGAGAGUACAAACAUAGUUGGCACUAUAAUUAAGUGCUUGCAAUUGUUUACCCCUUAUUUCCAGUCUACAACUGAAACUGUUAGGAAAGAUCUUACUCAGCUACCUACACAAGACUUCUCCUGGAUGCCACGUUCUUGUUCAUUUCGUUGGGACAACAUUCAUAGUGUAGCUACUGAGUGGUUCCGCCCAAACCCACUGUGUUGCAGGCAUCAUGAUCAGAAGGUAUGUAGUAGUGGCUACAUGGAUAAGUUAGAAUUUCCAGAUGUUAAUCUAGAACCAGUAAUUGAAGUGUAUUUGGAGAGCCAAGUUUACCAAUAUGGAUGCAACAAUCAGAGGGGGGAUGUGCCCGGGAAAAUAUGUUCUCUGAGAAGACCAUCACAGCUGAAACUUGGAGUAUUCCUUUUGCCUCAUGUUUCUUCAACCGACCUUCUGCCUGCAACUGAGAAUUUUGUAAUAGAGAUGAUUGAUGGUGAGGAGCAGCAGCUUUCCUGUCACACAAACAUUGCACUGAACCAGCUUAAUGAGAUCAUGCUUCCAAAAGCAAUAGAUAGCAUCAAUCAGAAUGGAGAAGUGGCAGCACAUCAGUUGUUGUGGAAAUCAAAGCAUGAAGCUGCAUUCUUUAAUGUAUGGAACACAAGAAUGAAUACGUCAAGCAUAUUGAGUACUGCUGGGAAAGAAACGUUGCUGCAACAACAUGACCUUCAGUUGGAGAGCCGAGCAGAUGUGAUCUCUGAGUUUCUCACGCUGUGGGUUGAGCGUACUCCUGUCAUGAUGCAGUUCUCUGCUGUGGAUUGGAUUCAAGCCCUACUUGGGGGACCUGGAGAUUCUAAAAAAAUGCUGAUGAGUGUGUAGCUAAUAUGAAUCAGGAGGGGUUGGUGAAACCUAGCUUUGGGCUGCUAGUUCAAAACUGCAAAUCUAGAUUCCACUGCUGCUGAAUUUCUUAACAUAGAGGAAUGAUAUGGGCUGUUUUGGCGAGUUGGAUAUUCUUUACUGUUGCUAGACGCUCCUUCAAAUAAAUUGUUAGAAUCAAAAGGAAACAGAUGACACCAAGAUCGAUCUAGAAUUCCAGAUUAUGUAACACAGAUUGAUGAGGGUAACAAGGACAAAUACAAGGAAUUGAUAAGUAGUAUCCUGGGUGACAGUAUUAUACCGUGUUAACUUCUACUUCCUCCAUCCAAAAAUGUGAACAUUUUUAGGAUUUAAAUCUUGUAUUCCUGUUACUAUUCACAGCAUGGUACUCCCUCCAUUUCAUUGGCCAGGGUAACAACCAGUAACAGGGGAAAUGCAAGGAGUGGGUAGGAAAUAUUCUAGGCGAUAAAUGUGUAUUGAACAGUGUUAACCUGGUAUGCAAAUAGGAGUUCAACAUGGUGUUGCAGCAUUACCCAGGAAAUCCAGAUCAAUUGAUGUGUAAUCAAUCUUUUUAGCUGAGACUUGCA